rnacentral:rRNA from 1 species
CACGUAGUUAGCCGGUGCUUCUUUACCCAUUACCGUCACUCACGCUUCGUCACAGGCGAGAGCGGUUUACAACCCGAAGGCCGUCAUCCCGCACGCGGCGUUGCUGCAUCAGGCUUCCGCCCAUUGUGCAAUAUUCCCCACUGCUGCCUCCCGUAGGAGUCUGGGCCGUAUCUCAGUCCCAAUGUGGCCGGUCACCCUCUCAGGCCGGCUACCCGUCAAAGCCUUGGUAAGCCACUACCCCACCAACAAGCUGAUAAGCCGCGAGUCCAUCCCCAACCGCCGAAACUUUCCAACCCCCACCAUGCAGCAGGAGCUCCUAUCCGGUAUUAGCCCCAGUUUCCUGAAGUUAUCCCAAAGUCAAGGGCAGGUUACUCACGUGUUACUCACCCGUUCGCCACUCGAGCACCCCACAAAAGCAGGGCCUUUCCGUUCGACUUGCAUGUGUUAAGCACGCCGCCAGCGUUCGUCCUGAGCCAGGAUCAAACUCU